GAUGAACGCUGGCGGCGUGCCUAAUACAUGCAAGUCGAGCGAACAGACGAGGAGCUUGCUCCUCUGACGUUAGCGGCGGACGGGUGAGUAACACGUGGCUAACCUACCUAUAAGACUGGGAUAACUUCGGGAAACCGGAGCUAAUACCGGAUAAUAUAUUGAACCGCAUGGUUCAAUAGUGAAAGACGGUUUUGCUGUCACUUAUAGAUGGAUCCGCGCCGCAUUAGCUAGUUGGUAAGGUAACGGCUUACCAAGGCAACGAUGCGUAGCCGACCUGAGAGGGUGAUCGGCCACACUGGAACUGAGACACGGUCCAGACUCCUACGGGAGGCAGCAGUAGGGAAUCUUCCGCAAUGGGCGAAAGCUUGACGGAGCAACGCCGCGUGAGUGAUGAAGGUCUUCGGAUCGUAAAACUCUGUUAUUAGGGAAGAACAAAUGUGUAAGUAACUAUGCACGUCUUGACGGUACCUAAUCAGAAAGCCACGGCUAACUACGUG
rnacentral:rRNA from 1 species